UUCAUUUGUAGUAUUUAAAGUGAAGAAAGAACAUAAAAAUUUUAAUCAUUGGAAUUGAUACUUUUUGUGGGGGUGGGAAUCUGUGUCCUUUGUAGUCCAGUUCCUUCCCAUCAGUCCUAACCCCAUUUCAUCUUCAUUCCUGAUUUGUAAUCCAGAUAUGAAUGUACAAAUGAUAUAUAUCAUAUUUGAAUUAAAAUAUUAGUAUAGAGCAUGGCCACAAAAUAAGCAGAGAAAUGUGUAUAGAUGAAUUUAAUAUGAAAUAUGUUAGUAUGAAAAUGUGUCUUAUGCAUGCAAUUGACAUAUACAAUAGUAACACUUUAUAAGAAUUGAUAAAUAUAUGUAUAUGAUAGAAAAGGUUGAAAACAGUUUUUGGAAACGUUUAUAAUAUUGUUAUGGAUUCAGUCUAUUAUCUUAAAUGGAAUAAUUAUUGAAUCUGGAACCACUCUUGUGUAAAGUAUGGGAACAAAAUAAGCAGAGAAUGAAUUUGUAUAAAUGAAUUCAAUAUGCAAUAAUUGUUCAUGUGAAAAUAUGUCUUAUUAAUGCAAUGAACAUUUGCUAUAGUUAAACUGCAUUAGAAGUGGUAAAGUACAUUUCUCUGUAAAAAUGUUUAUAUGAUAGAAAAGGUCAAUAGACUGCCAAUGACAACUGACUUUUUGUCCCGUUCAUAUGUAUAGUCAGCGAUUGAUUGGACUUUAUUAUGAAGCAGAAAAGGAAUAUAAAAGUGCAAUAGAAAGGAUUGAAUAUGAAGCAAGGAAAGACCAUCUAAAUGUUAUAAAAAGUGACAUAAUUAAAAAUAUUAAUUAUUAGAAUUGAUACUUUUGUGGGGGUGGGAAUCACUGUCCUGUCUAUACCAUUUAUUCCGAUUCAUCCUAUCCAAUUCCAACUUGACCCUGCCCAUCCCAUUUCUGAUUGGUUACCCAGGUAUGAUUGUAUAAAUAAUACAUAAUAUAGCAUACUUGAAUUAAAAUAUUAAUGUGGAGCACGGCCAAAAAAUAAACAGAGAAAAGAUGUGUAUAAAUCAAUUUAAUAUGAAAUUUGUUAGUGUGAAAUCAUGUCUUAUUCAUCCAAUUGACACUUUCUAUAUUCACACGUUAUAUGAAGUGUUAAUAGUACACUUCUUUAUAAGUAGAUGUAUGUAUAUGAUAGAAAAGGUUGAAAAUAUGAAUUUUUCGAGACAUUCUUAAUAUUAUUAUAAAUAGUUUAUUAUCUGAAGUGGAAUAAUUAUUAAAUCUUGAACCACACUUGUACUGAGUUUUCAGAAGUUACACUCCAACAAUAUUUUGAAAAGUCUGGAAAAAGAAUUGUUUGAAAGGUAAUAUGUUAUUCUACUUGGCACAUAUAUGCAGAAUUACAGGAGUAAUUUAUAUUUCUUGUUGCCAUGCUUAUUUACAGUACUUAUACCAGUCCAUUUUUUUCAGUUUGAGCUGCAAGUUGAAGCAGGAAAAUGGUGUCAAGUGUCAAGGCAAGCCAAAGAAGCAGUACUGGAUUUUCCCUGGAAAAGUAUGAAGAAUGUCUGUGAAAAAAGUGACUGUGUUCAUUUGUAGUAUUUAAAGUGAAGAAAGAACAUAAAAAUUUUAAUCAUUGGAAUUGAUACUUUUUGUGGGGGUGGGAAUCUGUGUCCUUUGUAGUCCAGUUCCUUCCCAUCAGUCCUAACCCCAUUUCAUCUUGACCUGGCCCAUCCCAUUCCUGAUUUGUAAUCCAGAUAUGAAUGUACAAAUAAUAUAUAUCAUAUUUGAAUUAAAAUAUUAAUAUAGAGCAUGGCCACAAAAUAAGCAGAGAGAUGUGUAUAGGUGAUUUUAAUAUGAAAUAAAUUAGUAUGAAAAUGUGUCUUAUGCAUGCAAUUGACACAUACAAUAGUAACACUUUAUAAGAAUUGAUAAAAGUACACUUCUUUGUAAGUAAAUAUAUGUAUAUGAUAGAAAAGGUCGAAAACAUGAGUUUUUGGAGACGUUUAUAAUAUUGUUAUGGAUUCAGUCUAUUAUCUUAUAUGGAAUAAUUAUUGAAUCUGGAACCACUCUUGUGUAGAGUAUAGGAACAAAAUAAGCAGAGAAUGGAUUUGUAUAAAUGAAUUCCAUAUGAAAUAAUUGUUCAUGUGAAAAUAUGUCUUAUUAAUGCAAUGAACAUUUGCUAUAGUUAAACUUGAUUAGAAGUGGUAAAAGUACAUUUCUUUGUAAAAAUGUAUAUAUGAUAGAAAAGGUCAAUAGACUGCCAAUGACAACUGACUUUAUGUCCUGCUCAUAUGUAUAGUCAGCGAUUGAUUGGACUUUAUUAUGAAGCAGAAAAAGAAUAUAAAAGUGCAAUAGAAAGGAUUUAAUAUGAAGCAAGGAAAGAUCAUCUAAAUGUUAUAAAAAGUGACAUAAUUAAAAAUGUUAAUUAUUGGAAUUGAUACUUUUUUUGGGGGUGGGAAUCACUGUCCUGUCUAUCCCAGAUCCUUCCAAUUCAUCCUUUCUGAUUCCAUCCUGACCCUGCCCAUCCCAUUCCUGAUUGAUUGUCCUGAUAUGUUCAUACAAAUAAUAUAUAAUAUAACAUACCUGAAUGAAAAUAUUAAUGUAGAACAUAGUUGCAUUAAAAGCAGAGAAAAGAUGUGAAUAGAUAAAUUUGAUAUGAAAUAUUUUUGUGUGAAAAUAUGUCAUAUUCAUGUAGUUGACACUUUUUGACACUUUCUAUAGUCACACUUUAUAAGAAGUGGUAAAAGUAUACUUCUGUAUAAUGUAUAUAUGAUGUUUAUAUAGUGUUUAGAGUGAAGAAAGAACAUAAAAUGUUAAUAAUUGAAAUUGAAUUUGUAGGGGAUGGGAACAUUGUCCAGUCUAUUCCAGUUCCUUCCCAUUCAUGCCUAUCCUAGCCAACCUGACCUGGUCCAUCCCAUUUCUGAUGGGUAACUCAUGUAUGAUAGUACAAAUAAUAUAUAAUAUAGCAUAUUAGAAUUAAAAUAUUAAUGUUGAGCAUGGCCCAAAUAAAGGAAGAGAAAAUAUGUGUAUAAAUAGAAUAAUUAUGAAUAUGUUUUAUUCGUGCAAUUGACACUAUGGUAACACUUUAUAAGAAGUGGUAAAAGUACACUUCUUUAUAAGUAGAUAUAUAUUUGAUAGAAAAGGUUAAAAACAUUUGUUUUUCGAGCUGUUCAUAAUAUUAUUAUGGAAACAGUCUAUUACCUAAAGACAGAAAGACAAAUGAUUAUUAAAUCUGGAACCACACUUGCAUGAGCAAAUGAAGGUUCAUGUACAGUUGUUGAAAGUUACAUUCUUGCUGUAUUUUGAGAAGUAUGGAAAAAGAAUUGUUUGAUAGGUAAAAUAGAUUUUGUGUUUCAGUCAUAUUUGCUGAAUUUGCUGACCAUUGUUGAAGCUGUGGAUUUUCCCUGGAAAAGAAUGAAGAAUGUUUUCAAGAAGAGACUGUAUUCAUUUGUAGUGUUUGAAGUGACGAAAGAAUAACAAAUGGGUACUUACUGGAAUUUAUAUUUUUUGUGGAGUUGGGAAUCUCUGUCCUGUCUAUUCCUGUUCCUCCUCAUUCUGUCUUGUCCCAUCCUGACCUGGCCCAUCCAUUCCUGAUUGAUAAUCUAGAAGUGUUUGUAAAAAGAACAUGUUGCAUAUUUGAAUGGAAUUGUAUAUUGAAGUAGUGUUAUAGAAUAUGGCUACAAAAUAAGCUGAAAAAAAGACAAUGUAUAUAAAAUAUUAAUACGAAAUAUGUUAGUGUGAAAAUGUGUUUUAUUUAUGCAGUUGAUACUUAGUUUAGUUUAUUAUUGUAUAAAAAUAAAGUGUGUUUCAGCAAAGUAUAAUUUAUAAGUCUGUACGAGUUUUGUCAAACAUAUUAUGGAUACAGUUAUACAGUAUUAUACAGGAUAUAAGAUAGAAUAAAUAUUAAACCUGGAAUGACAUUUGUAGCAAUAUGUAACGGAAAAACUUGGUCAAUUGGGUAUAUAGACAUUCUGGAUGUAACAACAUGACAAGUCUCUUACAUUAUACUGUUUCUAGAGACAGAAGACAGAAGACAAAAGAUGCUGGAAAUGUAAGUAGAGGCUACAAGACUGAUUUCCAAACCAAAUGAUAGGCACUGGUAUAUAUUGUUGUUUAUAAUGAUACUUGUAGUGUUGUUUAUAAAAGAAUUCAUUAAUAUGUUAACCUGUUCCACACAGGUAAAUGUCAACUUCUCCACUCAAAUUAAAAGUGGAGGAUGUUUGAUCUAGACUUUAGCUUAAGAGGAUUUAACUAAUGUAUUCCAUGUAACUUUUACCAUGAUUUUAGAUGCCUAAGUUCCAAAACAUUAACACUUAUUAGGAGAAACACCCAUGGAUGAAGAAUCAGAAGGCUUAAUCAACCGAUGGUGAAAAUUGUCACAUGCUGCAAGAAAAAUGACAGCUGGAAAGAUAUAAUCCCUCACACCACCAGCACCAACUCGGACAGAUGGUCUUUCAACAUAUAGUAGAUUCACGGUGAUACAUCGUAGAGCAGAUAUAGCUGGUCAACUUAUACAAGAAUGUUGAGACAUGGAUAGUUGGUUUCCUGCGAAGAAGAAUGUAUAAUGUAACACCUGCAGCCAGAGAGUUUGGAGAAAGGGAUCAGCUCAAAGAACAUUGGAGGGGUCUGAUGACAAUAUUGAUAUAGGUUAUGAAGGGUGAGCUACCUCCUGAUGAAGCACUGAAGGCUAUAACAAUACUUGAAGGCAAGCUCUUUACACUGAAGGCUGUAACAAUACUUGAAGGCAAGCUCUUUACACUGAAGGCUAUAACUAUACUUGAAGGCAAGCUCUUUACACUGAAGGCUGUAACAAUACUUGAAGGCAAGCUCUUUACACUGAAGGCUGUAACAAUACUUGAAGGCAAGCUCUUUACACUGAAGGCUAUAACAAUACUUGAAGGCAACUCUUUACACUGAAGGAAGAGAGAGACAGUGUUGCCAAGGCAAAAGACGGCUCUUGAGUUGACAGAACCUGAUCCGACAGAGCAGUGACGGUCUGUUGAAUUAGAUGAAGGAAUUACCUACUGGACUGAAUGCCGGUGCUUCAUAUGAACAUGUUAAAUGAUUGCAUCAAGGAUUUACAAAGGUGAUCUACAACAAUUGGUUCUAAAACUGCCAAUGAACUUCGGUAGAAGAGCUGGAGGGGAAUGGAGUGAGCAGAUUGCAGUACAGUCAAACCUGUCUAUAAAGACCACCCUUGGGAGAGCCAGAAUGUGGUCUUUAUUGGGAGGUGGUCUUUAUUCACAGGUUAAAAUAUACUGUAAAUGUUAAAGUGGGAAACAAAACAUGUCUUCUUUAGAGGGAGGUGGUCUCUGUUCAGAGGUGGUCUUUAACACCGGUUUGACUGUAUACACAUCAGAGGGAGUGGAACAGGCAGAUUUCAAUACAUACUACAUCAGUGGGAAAAGCACAAUGAAGUUCAGCUGUUUCCAGCUUGAAACACAUGAGGUUGAAGUUGCAAGGAGAGACUGAUGGAAAAUGACAGUGACUGGACUGAGACAGUGAUGAUGGUGAAGAACUGUAGAAAAGUUUGGAAAACUUUUAAUAGCUAGCAGUCAUCGAUUCCAGUAUUCCAGCCAAUGUAUCCCUCUCGUAGCCCACAAGAAGCAAUACCAGGAAAUAUGUGACAUUCAUCAGCCAGGUAGUCAUUUACUCCAAGUGGCAAGGUUAGAUACAGCCUGACACCAAAAUACCCAUUGGAGUGGAAUGUUUUGUGCUGUGGACACUGCAGAAUCGUGUAUUUGACAGUUUAACUUGCAUUGGCCAAAAAGGAUGUUGAUAUUGAUGCACUUCCUCGAAGCAACUUCAGUCCUACAGAACUAAGGGGAGGCAACAGUUAUCACUAUUGACCUAGAAACCAUUGACCUAAUUCAAUAUUGGAAUAUGCCACAUGUCACACAAAGACGCAUACCACAACAAAUCACUGUAGCACAGAUAUCUUUGUCACACCUAAAAAGGAAAUUUCACCAGAGGCACAAAGAUCACCAGGAUCGCAUGGAAUAUUCAGACACGAUGACAAUAAAAAACACAAUAGUCCAACACAUCUGUACCUGGAAUUUUUAAGACUGUAGAGAAAUUGUGUACUUGGCUUGAAAAGACCCUUAAGUGAUUUUGGUAGCCCGUUAUGGAAGACAAUUUGAUUUUCCAGUUCUUGUCUCAGCUCUACUGUGCACAAAAAUAACUAGGACAUUAUUCAGCUGAGUUUCUUCUGAAAAGUAUUCUUUUACCAGUGUUCAAGAAACUGUACCCUAAAUAGUCAUACCUGCUAUGACACUACUUGGUAUCCGUUACAAUGUCUAUAACCGACAGACAGAUAAAUUUAUUUUGAAAAACUGGGAAGGCCUGCCAAGGGUUUUCAUAUGUUAAAGAAAAAUUUCAAGCAACGACGUAUACUCAUGAUAAAUUUGGUGCGAUAAUGUUCAUUAUCUUAAGUAAAAAAUGACAAUUGUAAUUGUAAAUUCGAAUUGUGUUAUUUUACUCUAUAUUUAAGAAAAUUAAUAUAUUCAAACUUGUAAUUUUUUUCAUUUGUUGAAAUGUUAUAUUAUAGCUUUAAGCCUUAGUGCUCUCUUUUAACAAUCUGCCUAAAGAAACACUUUAGUUGUUCUUGUUUAUUAUUUAGCCAUUUCCUUGAUUAAAAAUACACAACAAACUUCUAGCUCAAGACUUUCCAAGGUUGACAAGUUAUUACUUUCUUUGAUUUUGCUUAAGUUUGUUAAUUAUUGUUAAAUACUUUUGUUCAAAAUUUAAUAAGGUGUAAAACCUUUAAAUGAUAUCCUUAAGCAACAGAUGUUAUGUUUUAAUAGUAAAGUAAGGAGAAGAAAACCUUUACUGUAAGCUAAUGUAGCUUUCUGUCCAAUGCCUGAAACAUUUUUUGUAAAUAUUUCAUGACUUUCUGAAUAAAAAUGUAUAUAAACCCCAAACUUCUAAGGAGCAAGAAGACAAAAUUUCAUUUCAACUCAUGUAUAAAAUUAACUUUGUGAUAUUUUUCUUAGUGAUAAGUUUUUUCAGUGAUAACUUGACAUUUAAUUUAUAUCUGUAUAGAUUUUUGUACAGUUAAUUCAGGUGUAUACAAGACAAUAUUUAUAAAGAUUUUUUUAUGUUUUAAGCUACCUAAUUAUUUAUAUUAGAGAAAACUGUUAAAUUUUAAUUUCUUUAUAAGUGUAUGUGUAAGUCCUAUUUCACUAUACAGUGCAACCUCUGAAGAGCAACACCCUUUGGGAGAUACAAAUAUUGACUGUUGUGUAGAGGUUGUUGUUCUUGAGAGGUAAAUUUGAUAAUAUAUUUCAGCUUAGGGAAAUUUUGAUGUUGUUAUAGAGGUUUUUGCUCUGAGGACCGCUCUGAAGAGGUUGUACAAUACUUAUAUAUUAUUGAGAGCUAAUAGACUCCAUUGGAAAUAAGUGAAAUUGUUACUUUCAAGGUUUAUCCCAGGCAGAAAGAUCAUCAUUUUUUCCUGAUAUUUAUGUAUUAGCUUGAUUACUCUUGUAAAGUACAAACAUAUAAGGGUUUACUGCAUAUUUAUUAAUUCUAAUAUUUUUCAUUUCUGUACCACUUUGUAUUUCUGUUAUAAUUGGAUCUUAUAUUUGAAUAAAAUUGAAUUGAAUUGAACUGAACUGAAUUUUAAACUGAACUGAAUUCUAAACUGGAACCAAACUGAACUGAACUGAGUUUGAAACAGAAACUGAACUGAAUUUUGGACUGUUACUGAAUGAACUGAAUUCUGAACUGGAACUAAACUGAACUGAACUGAAUUUAAAACAGAAACUGAACUGAAUUUUAAACUGAAACUGAACUGAACUGAAUAUAGCUGGGUAAAAAUCUACAGUACAGCUUGCAUUAAGAGACCACCAAAGGGAAGGAAAAAACAUGUUCUCUUUAUGCAUCAUAGUUUGUUCUUUGAUAACAUAAAAAAAGGAACUGAAAAACUGGUCUCUUAAUGCAAGAAGCCUCUAAAUCAAAUGUACUUGAUGAAACUUAUUAUGCUUUUGUGCUGCAAAUUUUGUAAUGUAGUUUUGUUGUGUCUAUGAUGAUUUCUCUAAAUAAACUUUAAACAUUA